AAUAGAUACCCCGGUAGUCCACGCCCUAAACGAUGUCUACUAGUUGUCGGGGAUUAAUUUCCUUGGUAACGCAGCUAACGCGGGAAGUAGACCGCCUGGGGAGUACGGUCGCAAGAUUAAAACUCAAAGGAAUUGACGGGGACCCGCACAAGCGGUGGAUGAUGUGGAUUAAUUCGAUGCAACGCGAAAAACCUUACCUACGCUUGACAUGUCCGGAAUCCUGCAGAGAUGUGGGAGUGCCCGAAAGGGAGCCGGAACACAGGUGCUGCAUGGCUGUCGUCAGCUCGUGUCGUGAGAUGUUGGGUUAAGUCCCGCAACGAGCGCAACCCUUAUCAUUAGUUGCUACGCAAGGGCACUCUAAUGAGACUGCCGGUGACAAACCGGAGGAAGGUGGGGAUGACGUCAAGUCCUCAUGGCCCUUAUGCGUAGGGCUUCACACGUCAUACAAUGGUCGGUACAGAGGGCUGCCAACCCGCGAGGGGAGCCAAUCCCACAAAACCGAUCGUAGUCCGGAUUGCAGUCUGCAACUCGA
rnacentral:rRNA from 1 species